rnacentral:lncRNA from 1 species
AGACCUGUGCCUACACUUCAGGACACAGGCUCUUGUGACCAUCUUAUAUAUAGGGACUGUCUUAGGGUUUCCAUUGCUGUGAUGAAACACCAUGACUAAAAACAACUUGGAAGGAAAAGAUUUAUUUCUCUCAGUUUUACAUAACAGGUCACCAUCAAAAGCCUCCCAGAGGGCUGGAAGGGCUUGUGCCCCUUGUCCGGUGACCUGUCCUCUGCUCACACAGAUACGAGAAUGAUCACCUGAUGCUUUCCAUGCCCCUGGAGACCUGGGACAAGGCAGACAGGGCCAGGGUUCACAUAAGGCAGGAUCCUGGAGGCAGGAGCUAAUGCAGAAGCCGUGGAGGCACGCUGCUUACUGGUGUGCUCCUCAUGGCUUGCUCAGCCUAGUGGCACCAGACCAGGGCUGCCACCACCCACAAUGAAUUGGGGAUUCCCCAGUGAUCACUAAUUAAGAAAAUGCCUUACAGCCAGAUCUUAUGGAGGCAUUUUCUGAACUGAGGCUCCUUCCUCUCUGAUAAUUCUAGCUUGUGUCGAGCCAUGACAGAAACUGAGCUUCCAAGAGCAUUGGCCUCAUUUUCUUCAGCCAGUGGUUGGUAGAAUUGGACCAGGGCCAAGGUGUCCUCUUCACCUUGUGACCUCUAGUUUCCUGUGUGAUAUCCCAAACAGGGUGAGAGUUCCUCCCGCUUUCUGAGCAGGCACGGUAGGGGAAAGUAACUGAAAUCACAAAAGAAGAGAAGAAAGAUGGGAAAGAGAAAGCUUUCAGACUUUGAAAGACUCUUUUUGAGUGAUAUUGGAUGGUCCUUAAAAUGUAUUCAUUACCUGACAAUAAAGUUUAACUGAACAUCCC